CAAGGAAUUUUCCGCAAUGGGCGAAAGCCUGACGGAGCAACGCCGCGUGUGGGAUGACGCUUUUCGGAGUGUAAACCACUGUUCAUGGGGACGAAGCACUGACGGUACCCAUGGAGGAAGGCCCGGCUAACUACGUGCCAGCAGCCGCGGUAAUACGUAGGGGUCGAGCGUUGUCCGGAGUUACUGGGCGUAAAGCGCAUGCAGGCGGCUCAUUACGCAUGGCGUGAAAGCCCCCGGCUUAACCGGGGAGGGUCGUCGUGAACGGGUGAGCUUGAGGGUAUCAGGGGCUGGUGGAAUUCCCGGUGUAGUGGUGAAAUGCGUAGAGAUCGGGAGGAACACCUGUGGCGAAGGCGGCCAGCUGGGAUACACCUGACGCUGAGAUGCGAAGGCGUGGGGAGCG
rnacentral:rRNA from 1 species